CCCCGUGCUAUCAGUUAUCUUUGGCCUGUGCAACCGUGAGAGACCUUAAUCUCUUGGGCGUCAGCGGGGAUUCUGUCUCCAGCACUAAACUCAUUUAAGGGAGAGGGGGUGCGUAUUAAUAAUGAAGAUAACCAAACAGCCCGGGCCGCGCUAUUCCCUGACCUGCCCCCAGGCGGGCCCUAAUGACCCGUUUGUGAAGUGCGCGCAGAGCCCCAGAUGAAAGGCGCCCAGGAUUCAUUUGAGGCAGCCCACAGGGAGGGGUGUCGCCGAGGAAACAGAAUCCAGGCCCCCCAGGCCUCUGACGGAAGGGACUGGAGCAUGCUGGGAAAACACAUCCACCUGAGGAGCACAAAAGACCCCAGGGGUGGAGGAAGCUGGCCUGAGGCCAACCGGAGGUCUGUGUGUGGUACUGGGAUUGCGGCAUGAAAACCUACAUAUGUCAGACCGUCUUCUACGGUGUUUGCACCAAAUUCUGUCCCCCGCCCAGCAAUGCGUAAGAGCUCCGUUUGCUCCAUACCCUUGCCAACAUGUGCUAUCAUCGGUCGUUCUGACUGGUCACCG